rnacentral:rRNA from 1 species
AAAACGGGUGGUAAUGCCGGAUGCUCCAGUUGAUCGCAUGGUCUUCUGGGAAAGCUUUCGCGGUAUGGGAUGGGGUCGCGUCCUAUCAGCUUGACGGCGGGGUAACGGCCCACCGUGGCUUCGACGGGUAGCCGGCCUGAGAGGGCGACCGGCCACAUUGGGACUGAGAUACGGCCCAGACUCCUACGGGAGGCAGCAGUGGGGAAUAUUGCACAAUGGGCGCAAGCCUGAUGCAGCGACGCCGCGUGAGGGAUGGAGGCCUUCGGGUUGUAAACCUCUUUUAUCGGGGAGCAAGCGAGAGUGAGUUUACCCGUUGAAUAAGCACCGGCUAACUACGUGCCAGCAGCCGCGGUAAUACGUAGGGUGCAAGCGUUAUCCGGAAUUAUUGGGCGUAAAGGGCUCGUAGGCGGUUCGUCGCGUCCGGUGUGAAAGUCCAUCGCUUAACGGUGGAUCCGCGCCGGGUACGGGCGGGCUUGAGUGCGGUAGGGGAGACUGGAAUUCCCGGUGUAACGGUGGAAUGUGUAA